rnacentral:ncRNA from 1 species
AUCAAAACGUUGAACAAGAGUAGUAAGAGAAUUUAUAUACACAAAGAGAGCUAUUGGUUGGUGUGAAAUAGUAGAUGUGAAUUUCUGAACGUGCUUGGGAGUUUAAUUAUCGAAUUAUAUGAGGUAAUUACGUAUACCUGCGUUAAAGGAUAGAGUGCUUUGUAUUUUUACAUACAAAGAAUUUAGGUGGUACCGCGAUAUUUAAUCGUCCUUUGU